AUUGAACGCUGGCGGCAGGCCUAACACAUGCAAGUCGAACGAGUGGCGGACGGGUGAGUAAUGUCUGGGGAUCUGCCUGAUAGAGGGGGAUAACUACUGGACACGGUAGCUAAUACCGCAUACCAUCAGAUGUGCCCAUAUGGGAUUAGCUUGUUGGUGGGGUAACGGCUCACCAAGGCGACGAUCCCUAGCUGGUCUGAGAGGAUGACCAGACACACUGGAAAUGAGACACGGUCCAGACUCCUACGGGAGGAAGCAGUGGGGAAUAUUGAACAAUGGGCGCAAGCCUGAUGCAGCCAUGCCGCGUGUAUGAAGAAGGCCGUAGGGUUGUAAAGUACUUUCAGCGGGGAGGCGUUACCCGCAGAAGAAGCACCGGCUAACUCCGUGCCAGCAGCCGCGGUAAUUC
rnacentral:rRNA from 1 species